AUCGUCUGUGUCUAUUGUAUUUAAACCUUUACGUAUGCGCUAUUUUAUGCCUAUACGGAACAAUCAGCGGUUUGUCAAUUUAUGUAUUUAAGUAUGUUGUGUAAAUCAGCGAUAAUUAAUAAUUUCGUAGUGUUCUUAUAUCGUUAGGAACACUAAUUUUAUGAAUUUAGUGGAAACAAAAUUAUCGACUCGUGGAAAAUCAAUAAAUAUGCUGCCAAACUCUGUAAGAAGUAUACGAACAAAUGAUUUCGAAUAAAUGAUUCCAAAAAUAAUAAAAAAGAAAAGAUUUCUUUAUAAAAGUCCAUGAAGUGCGGAUAUUGAGGCUAGCAUAUCGAUGGAUUAUUCAGAACGUCUCCUACAAUCGUUGCUUUAGAAUAUUUAACGAAGAAAUGCAUAUUAUUUGUCGAUGACAAUAAUGACAUAUCAACUUCAUAUUAUGUUAACUUUUACUGACAGUCAGCAGUCGCUAAGUAGUGAUCCUAUGUCCUGCCAACAACAGGCAUCAAAAAGAUCAAAAAAUGAUGAUAACAGUGAUAUAAGAGUAACAAUUUACUUAGCUCUUGAAAAUGAGUCUAUAAACUAAGAAAGGAUACAGUGGAUGGAUUCUUGCUUCAAAUAGGAGAUCAUCUAUGAAUCCUCUCAAUAUGCGAGAAACGUCAAUUUGAGAUACAAAUCU